rnacentral:rRNA from 1 species
AGUGAACGCUGGCGGUAGGCCUAACACAUGCAAGUCGAACGGCAGCACAGUAAGAGCUUGCUCUUACGGGUGGCGAGUGGCGGACGGGUGAGGAAUACAUCGGAAUCUACUUUUUCGUGGGGGAUAACGUAGGGAAACUUACGCUAAUACCGCAUACGACCUACGGGUGAAAGCAGGGGAUCUUCGGACCUUGCGCGAUUGAAUGAGCCGAUGUCGGAUUAGCUAGUUGGCGGGGUAAAGGCCCACCAAGGCGACGAUCCGUAGCUGGUCUGAGAGGAUGAUCAGACACACUGGAACUGAGACACGGUACAGACUCCUACGGGAGGCAGCAGUGGGGAAUAUUGGACAAUGGGCGCAAGCCUGAUCCAGCCAUACCGCGUGGGUGAAGAAGGACUUCUGGUUGUAAAGCCCUUUUGUUGGGAAAGAAAAGCAGCAGGUUAAUACCCCGCUGUUCUGACGGUACCCAAAGAAUAAGCACCGGCUAACUUCGUG